CGGCUCUUUUCGCUCGGUUCAGGUCGUUCCUCCUGCUAUUGUUUUGUUAUUUCUCCUAAUACAGUUUUGAGUAUGGCUUUCUUCGGACUCACAUAUUUGGGCUAUCAGAACCCUUUUGGGGACAGGAUGGUAACAUCUAGGCACAACAAUCUUACACGAGACUCAUCAGACCUGCAUCUCGGCAGUCAGAGCAGAUAUCAGGACUUGAGCAGACGCGUUCAGAGGUCUCCUAAAGAGCUGUAUCGUGUACCUGUGACGGACAACCAGCAGUACGGCUGGUGGGUUUCCACCGAUGGCCUGAAGAACCAGGAGCCUUGGACUCAAACCCGUCGCUUCCCACGCAAAAACAGCGAAAUGACCAAGUUUGUGAAUGAGAUGUCAAUGACUUGCCCAGACUUCAGCUUGUUUUGAUUCCUGGUCCUUGGAACUGUAAGACAGUAUGUUCACAUGGUGAUCACAGUGCACUAAUACUGCAACACUGCAGUGUGUCACUUUGCUCUGCAGAACAGGAGGUGCAGAGGACACACAACUCACACUAAUGCCAGUGUUACCUAUCCACUGCACAGCUAUGGCUGUGCCAUAUUGUUUAUAGAAUUUAGUG
ensembl:lncRNA